rnacentral:rRNA from 1 species
CUUAGAAGCAGCCACUCAUUUAAAGAGUGCGUAAUAGCUCACUGGUCGAGUGAUUGUGCGCCGAAAAUGUACCGGGGCUAAACUGUGUACCGAAGUCUAGGGAUCGUGAUAAACGAUCGGUAGGGGAGCAACGUGUGCGGGCUGAAGCCGAAGCGGAAGCGACGGUGGACUGCACGGGAGAGAGAAUGCCGGCAUGAGUAGCGAGAGCAAAGUGAGAAUCUUUGCCGUCGAAAGCCUAAGGUUUCCUGAGGAAGGCUCGUCCUCUCAGGGUAAGUCAGGACCUAAGCCGAGGACAAAAGUCGUAGGCGAUGGACAACUGGUUGAUAUUCCAGUACCACCUUUAGCGUUUGACUGAAGCAGUGACACAGAAGGAUAGACAGAGCGCGUGACUGGUAGAGCGCGUCCAAGCGAUGAGGGAGUUAAGUAGUGAAGAACGCUUAACAAUCCUGGGUCGUGAUGGGGACUGAAAAUAAGUAGGGAAGCUGUUGAAUUCACGCUGGCGAGAAAAGCUGCUAAGGAGCGAAAGGGUGCCUGUACCGCAAACCGACACAGGUAGGCGAGGAGAGAAUCCUAAGACGAGCGGGAGAACCCAUGUUAAGGAACUCGGCAAAAUGACCCUGUAACUUCGGGAUAAAGGGAGCCACGAGAGUGGCCGCAGAGAAUAGGCCCAAGCGACUGUUUACCAAAAACACAGGUCUGUGCGAAGUAGAGAUACGACGUAUACGGGCUGACGCCUGCCCAGUGCCGGAAGGUUAAGGGGAAGUGUUAGGGCAACCGAAGCACGGAACUUAAGCCCCGGUGAACGGCGGCCGUAACUAUAACGGUCCUAAGGUAGCGAAAUUCCUUGUCGGGUAAGUUCCGACCCGCACGAAUGGCGUAACGACUUGGGCACUGUCUCAACAUGGGACCCGGCGAAAUUGUAGUAUGUGUGAAGAUGCACAUUACCCGCGAUAGGACGGAAAGACCCCGUAGAGCUUUACUGUAGUUUAACAUUGGAUUUCGGUAACAUAUGUACAGGAUAGGUGGGAGGCGAAGAACCAGGGACGCCAGUUUCUGGGGAGCCGACCUUGGGAUACCACUCUUGUGUUAUUGGAGUUCUAACGAAUUGCCGUGAACCGGGAUUCGGACAGUGUUAGAUGGGCAGUUUGACUGGGGCGGUCGCCUCCCAAAGAGUAACGGAGGCGUCCAAAGGUUCCCUCAGAAUGGUUGGAAACCAUUCGCAGAGUGUAAAGGCAGAAGGGAGCUUGACUGCGAGACCGACAGGUCGAGCAGGUGCGAAAGCAGGGCUUAGUGAUCCGGCGGUAUGAGAGUGGAAUUGCCGUCGCUCAACGGAUAAAAGCUACCUCGGGGAUAACAGGCUUAUCUCCCCCAAGAGUCCACAUCGACGGGGAGGUUUGGCACCUCGAUGUCGGCUCGUCGCAUCCUGGGGCUGAAGCAGGUCCCAAGGGUUUGGCUGUUCGCCAAUUAAAGCGGCACGCGAGCUGGGUUCAGAACGUCGUGAGACAGUUCGGUCCCUAUCCAUCGUGGGCGUAGGAGUCAUGAGAGGAGCUGUUCCUAGUACGAGAGGACCGGAAUGGACGCACCACUGGUGCAACUGUUGUCGUGCCAACGGCAUAGCAGGGAAGCGAAGUGCGGAUGGGAUAAACGCUGAAGGCAUCUAAGCGUGAAGCCCACCUCAAGAAUAAGACUCCACAAUAGACCCCUGGAGGACUACCAGGUAGAUAGGUCAUCGGUGGAAGCGCUGUAAGGCGUGUAGCUUGAUGAUACUAAUCGGUCGAAAGCUUCAUUU